rnacentral:lncRNA from 1 species
GGGCCAGGCUGAAGGCUCGGCACCGGCAGAGCUGCUCGCCCAGCAGCGCCCGCGUCCGCAUGGGGCACCCGCCGCGCGCAGGGGGCUGGGGCAGCCCCGGGGACCUCCGGCGCCCCGCGCGCGCCUCCUCUCCCGCGCGCCACUUCCCGGCACCGCGCGGCCGCCCACUCGCCGGCAAUUGCAUCGCGCGGAGACUUCCUGCGCCCCAGGGCGGCAUCGCCCUGCCCUGCGCCAUGCAAAAAGCAGGUUUCGUCCCCUCCAAACUCARCCGGGAACCGGCGCCCGCCGCUUCGGGGACAGAAGUUCGAGGGAGAGCAGGGCGAGAGACGGGGGGCGGCCGGGAGAAGCCCCUGCCCGGGCUUGGGGCUCCCCACGAGCUGCACCGCAGGCAGCGGGAGAGGGCUGGAGCCACCGCGCGGCCGUGGCAGGGCUCGCCAAGGCCCCGCCGGCUUUUCCGCCCGCGCCGCUGCCGUCCCUGCUGCUUCCCUGCAGCUGUCAGCGCUGCUAAGCCUCAGGAGCAGCUUGAACCAGAAAAUAGGUCAGACGGGAUGAACGCAGCACACGGUGUGGUGCACACACACACACACACACACACAGAGCACAGCGUGCGCACAGCACGGUGCAGAGCACACACAGCGCAGCGCAUGUGCAUGCACAUACACGGCGCAGCGCAUGGUACGCGCAGCACGGUGCAGAGCACACACGCAGCACGGUGCAUGCUACAUACACAGCACGGUGCGCACGCACACAGCCUGGUGCAUGCACAUGCAGCACGGUGCAUGGCACACACAGCACAUGGCAUGCACACACACACAGCACAGUGCAUGGCGCACAGACACAGCACACAGCAUGCACACACACAGAGCAUAGUGCAUGGCAUGCACACACAGCCUGGUGCAUGCACACACACAGCACAUGGCACGCACACACACACAGCCUGGUGCAUGCACACACACACACAGCACAGUGCACAGCACACACACUGCACACAGCAUGCACACACACACAGAGCGUGGUGCACGGCACACACGCAGCAUGCAGCACGGCAGUGCCGCGUGGCAAGCGGGUGCCGCUGGGAGGGCCAGCUAGAGCAGGAGGUGUGCUGCUGCUCYGGCCCUGCAACGCCAGCAGCGACACCAGCGCUGGCCCCAGCCUCCRGCAGCUGCUGCCUGCCCCGUUUCAGCCCCGUCUCUCCCCUUCCUGCUCCGCCGCCACCUCGCACCCCCGCGCAGCCAAUGCUCCCUGCAAUGCCCCCGUGUAGCGCCCCAUGCAAUGCCCCCCAUACAAUGUCCCCUAUGCAAUACCCCCUGUAUAAUGCCCCCCCUACAAUACCCCCGUGCAAUGACCCCUGCGUAGUGCCCCCAUGCAACACUCCCUCUUGGCAGUGCCCCCCAGGCAAUGCCCCCUGCAUGACGCCCUCCUACAACACCCCCUGUGCAAUAUCCCCCGUAUAGCUCCCCUGCGCAAU